UGGUGGAGUGAUUUGUCUGGUUAAUUCCGUUAACGAACGAGACCUCGACCUGCUAAAUAGAUCGGCGAACUCUCGGGUUCGUACGUGUCUUCUUAGAGGGACUAUCGGUGCGUAGCCGAUGGAAGUUCGAGGCAAUAACA
rnacentral:rRNA from 1 species